rnacentral:misc_RNA from 1 species
GAUGAAGAACGUAGCAAAAUGCGAUAAGUAAUGUGAAUUGCAGAAUUCAGUGAAUCAUCGAAUCUUUGAACGCACAUUGCGCCCGCUGGUAUUCCGGCGGGCAUGCCUGUUCGAGCGUCAUUUCAACCCUCAAGCCCCCGGGUUUGGUGUUGGGGAUCGGCUCUGCCCUUCUGGGCGGUGCCGCCCCCGAAAUACAUUGGCGGUCUCGCUGCAGCCUCCAUUGCGUAGUAGCUAACACCUCGCAACUGGAACGCGGCGCGGCCAUGCCGUAAAACCCAAACUUCUGAAUGUUGACCUCGGAUCAGGUAGAAAUACCCGCUGAACUUAAGCAUAUCAAAAGCGGAGGA